rnacentral:rRNA from 2 species
CUCAACCUGGGAACUGCAUUCGAAACUGGCAGGCUUGAGUCUUGUAGAGGGGGGUAGAAUUCCAGGUGUAGCGGUGAAAUGCGUAGAGAUCUGGAGGAAUACCGGUGGCGAAGGCGGCCCCCUGGACAAAGACUGACGCUCAGGUGCGAAAGCGUGGGGAGCAAACAGGAUUAGAUACCCUGGUAGUCCACGCCGUAAACGAUGUCUACUUGGAGGUUGUGCCCUUGAGGCGUGGCUUCCGGAGCUAACGCGUUAAGUAGACCGCCUGGGGAGUACGGCCGCAAGGUUAAAACUCAAAUGAAUUGACGGGGGCCCGCACAAGCGGUGGAGCAUGUGGUUUAAUUCGAUGCAAC